GCCACUUGUUGCCACUUACCAAGUUCAACAAUAACUUCGCCGGCUUCAGCCACCAAUAUCAUUCAAAACUCCAUCAUACUCCGUCAAACACAGUAUCUUAUAUACAGGUGAAGAACUUCCUGACAGUGCUUCAAAAGUAUUUAUAAAAUGCUUCAAAGAACACACGAGUUAAUUUUAAACUUCCCAGCUCGGUGGUGACGGUUCCCGCUAGAUUGAACAGCAAUUCCUGGCUUUAUAAGCGAGUUUGCGAUUCGAUGGUAUUGUUCGCAGGUUUCCCACCUUAACUGGUUUCGGUUUCGUGAUGUGCUGUUAAACUGAGCGAAAUAUCGUUCGUUACACGGAGUUGCUUUCGUGUCAAGUUAUGGCGGAAUGAAUGAUGAGAUAAAAGCAAGUGUCUCGACACGACACAUGCGUAGGCAUUUGUAAAGGGUUUUUGUUCGUGUUUACGGCGGCAUGACUAGUUACGUCGUAAUUUGAAAAGGAACUCACGAGCUGUAUACCCUGGAUUCCAGAGCCUUCGAC